UAUUGGUCCUCUCGCAUUGAUAACCCGUCGACCUGGUCAGGACCGGAAGGUAGCAGCCAAGGCGGGGGA
rnacentral:SRP_RNA from 1 species